rnacentral:rRNA from 1 species
GGGAGCCUCUUAAUGGGGUGACUGCGUACCUUUUGUAUAAUGGGUCAGCGACUUAUAUUCUGUAGCAAGGUUAACCGAAUAGGGGAGCCGAAGGGAAACCGAGUCUUAACUGGGCGUUAAGUUGCAGGGUAUAGACCCGAAACCCGGUGAUCUAGCCAUGGGCAGGUUGAAGGUUGGGUAACACUAACUGGAGGACCGAACCGACUAAUGUUGAAAAAUUAGCGGAUGACUUGUGGCUGGGGGUGAAAGGCCAAUCAAACCGGGAGAUAGCUGGUUCUCCCCGAAAGCUAUUUAGGUAGCGCCUCGUGAAUUCAUCUCCGGGGGUAGAGCACUGUUUCGGCAAGGGGGUCAUCCCGACUUACCAACCCGAUGCAAACUGCGAAUACCGGAGAAUGUUAUCACGGGAGACACACGGCGGGUGCUAACGUCCGUCGUGAAGAGGGAAACAACCCAGACCGCCAGCUAAGGUCCCAAAGUCAUGGUUAAGUGGGAAACGAUGUGGGAAGGCCCAGACAGCCAGGAUGUUGGCUUAGAAGCAGCCAUCAUUUAAAGAAAGCGUAAUAGCUCACUGGUCGAGUCGGCCUGCGCGGAAGAUGUAACGGGGCUAAACCAUG